CACGUAGGGGGCGAGCGUUGUCCGGAUUUAUUGGGCGUAAAGAGCGUGUAGGCGGCCAGGUAGGUCCGUUGUGAAAACUCGAGGCUCAACCUCGAGACGUCGAUGGAAACCAUCUGGCUAGAGUCCGGAAGAGGAGAGUGGAAUUCCUGGUGUAGCGGUGAAAUGCGCAGAUAUCAGGAAGAACACCCGUGGCGAAGGCGGCUCUCUGGGACGGUACUGACGCUGAGACGCGAAAGCGUGGGGAGCGAACAGG
rnacentral:rRNA from 1 species